CCUGACCUCAGGUGAUGCACCCACCUCGGCUUCCCAAAGUGUUGGGAUUACAGGCGUGAGCCACUGUGCCCAGCCGCAUCCUAAGUUUUGAUAACAUGCCAGGAUCUUUCUUUCCUGUCCUCUCAAGGAGGUUAAAUACUAUUUUCAUAAUGAGUUAUAAUUAAGAAGUUUUCUUAUGUCAAAUAUAAAAACAAAAUCAUAUAGUUCAUCGACUCACUUAUGUCUUACCAGCUUUUUAAUUACAAAUUAUUGUUCAGUCAACACUUGAAAGUGUGUCCCAUUUUUUCCUAAGGUUUACCAAUAGAUGAUGAUAUUGAUGAUGAAAUGUUUGAUGAUGACCAUUUAAAGGUUUAUUUUGAACAACUGGCAAUUCCAGGAGUAAUGGAAUUAAACAUAUGAAGAUCUAGAAGGACUGGAGCCUCCAGAAAAAGAUCGGACAUUACCUGCAAGUGCUCCUAGUCAGGAAUGUUCCAGUCUUUGUGGCUUUUCCGAAAUUUGACAUUAGAAAAUCACUAUUGUUCUCACUGGAUGUUCACAUGAAAUUUAAGCCUCUGGUUUUCUCUGGACUCCAUUUUUUUCCAGGCAAAUGAAAACCGCAGUUUAAACUCUAAGUUUCAACCAGAAUCUAACAGCUCCUGGAUUUCCCGUGGCUCACACUCUUCAGAAACAACUCACAAAGAGCCUGAGGAAGCAGCUCUCCCUUAUCAGUGGGCCAGUUUAUUUGUCUCCCUGGGACUAGUAAUUCUGUAGUUACUGGAGGUAGUAGAAGGCACACAGAUCAUGCCAUUUCCCUCAAGUACUUGGAUAACUGAGAAAGAAAUGGCAGAAAAUUGUGAGUGGUAUUUCCAGCUCCUAACAGAGAAAAUGCAAGAAAAGCUGUUGCAGUGAAGACCCUCAGGCAGCUUGUAUGACACUCAGCUCUGUUCACUUUCAUGACACAAAUGCCCACAAAAGCGGUUUUGACCUGACUGACCCUGUACGCGGAGGCACAGUCUCCUCACCAGCAUAAGCACGUGGCAUCAGAUGCGGAGACAGUUUUGGACAUGGAUGGAUGUUACACACUGAGACCCCUUCAGUGUCCCUUCAAGAAAAUGUGGACACAGUGUCUCUGAAGCCUAUUAGUGACCAUAGAAUUAAUUUCACUAGUAUCCUUCAGUCACCAACUUGUGAAAAGAGAACAUGUGAAUGUCACGAGUCCAUUGAAAAAAGACAAAAUGAAUCUCACACAGAAUGUGGUUUAUGACAAUGAAGAGGGCAGACGGGUCAUGGACCUCGCCUGUCGCACAUCUUUCACCAGCAAACAAAAUGUGAUGAGACGUCUGGAGACUUGGGAUCUGGUUAGUGACACCACUAGUGAGAUGAGCAUCACAAUUUUUCAAGCCAGCCCAGCCCCGUCAGAGGAAUAGGCUGUGGAAAAAUUGGGAGAAAAAGUUCCAUUUCAGAAUAUAGGAAAAGGAACAUAAAGGAACAUUACCGUCUAUGAUCACAAACAACUGUGAAAUGAAAACAUGACUGCAACUGCUCUGAGUAGCAAGCCUAAAGAUGUAAAACCUAACCUUAGAUCAAGUGAAGAUCUUCCUCCAAAGUGGAGAUCUGUUGGAACCCGGUGAGGUGGAUUGGACGUCAAACCUCAAGGAAGUAGACCCGAUCAGGCUGGCUCUCCUGAGCAAGUCAGGUCUGAGUCGUGAGACAGGAUCAGCCACUCACACCUCCUUGUGUCCUGCCAGGAGACUGUAGAUGAUGAUGAAAGAACCAUCACUAAAGCUACGUCAACUGCAAGUAGUGAGCUCAGAGGCCAGGACCUGUUCCCAGCGGAGCCAUUCAUGACUCUGCAGCUGAGAUCAGAACAUGCCUGCUGCGGUGCCUGCACUCUUGGUGUGACCCCUCCCAGCACAGCUUCCUUCAGCCAGAGAUAUUUAAGAACACUCCCUUCAGCUGGAAGGUGUCACCUUGCCUCAGUGCCAGGCUGGCAGGGCCGCAGUCUGUGGCUUCUCAGGAGGCCGUCCCUGUCCAGCUGUCACGGGAGAGCAUGUGCAGAACCCUGCAGCUGUGGAAUCUGGGACCAAAUACCGGCUCUGGAUGGAUGGGUGCCUCUUCCGUCUGCAACCCAUAUUCUAAUGCCUCACAGCGGAACCUGCUAAGCACAGCGAAACCUUUUCCUGUGCAUUCUGUUGGUGCAAACUGGAAAUAAACCACGGGAUUCAGGAAUGACAUCAGUACUGGGUUAAGCGGUGGCUUAUGAUUUGUGAGACAGAAACGGAAGCCAUGACAGUAACAUCAAACGAUUCAGUGGCUAUAAUGGUAGAAACAGAACAGAAAGACAUUCUUGAUUUUGGUGACUGGAGUUGUGGAGGCUGGAGGUCCCUGCCAAUAAAAGCAAUGAACCGGACACACACCACUUACCAAUCAAGCUGAUUCUCAGUGUUAGCACCGUGGCCUGGCAAGGACUGACGUUUUUCCAAGGAACCCGGCUGAGCUCCUGUGGGAGCUGCUCCCUGCGCUGAUGUGGUCCCUCGGCUGGCAGGCUGCCCUGCAAUCAACCACGUGACACCUGCCUGUUAUGAGGGACAGGUAGGAGGGGAUGGGCUUUCCAUCAAAACAAAACAAAACAAAAUAAAACAAAAACAGUAAGGUUUUCCAAACUGCUUUUCUUUCAUUCAGAUUUCAUCUUAAUACUAAUGUAUAACAAUUUUUUAUUUAUAUUUCAUAAGGUCUAGAAUUUCUGAUAAUUUUGGUUCUUUUCCAGAAUCCAAAGAAGCAACUCGGCUUUUCAGGUAUCAUGUUUAUGUUUUCUGGGAAUUGCUUUUCUCUAUGUCUAAAUAGACCACAAAUUUGAGACUGAUUUCCUCUGCCAGUAAAUGUGAAUGCUUCCAGUCAUCUGUCAAGUAUCUUAUGCUGUUCUGACGAUGAGGCAGAUGCCUGCUGUUCUGGGUCAAACCUAGGUGAAUGUGCAUGACAACAGCAAGUACCACUGAGGACCUAUUGGGAUAUUUUCUCUAAAUUGAUCUCCUCUCGUGUAUCAGUUGGAUGUGCUCUUGCUUUUUCUGCUUCUCCACUCAUUUCCAGUCCUCUUUAAAUUCUUUAAAAAAUCUUCUUGCCUACAUUUUUCUGUGGCCCCUAAAGACAUUGUUUUGGACUGCUGAUGGCAUGUACAAUUCAGUGUGUCUGGUCUCUGAACUGAAAGAAUAAUCUUUUUGAAUUUUAGAGAUUCAGGACUCAGGAGGAGACUUCGUGGCGAGAGUUGACAUAGAAGUUGACAGCCCAGACCCUCCACCGGUUCUUAGAAGUGUUGAUCUCCAAGAAGGGGCAGAAGGAGCCAUAACUCCUGCUCCCAGAGACUUCCAGGUCCCCGAAUGAGGAAGUCCCUCUUUAGUGGAUCCAGAGAAUCUAUUCAUUAAACCUGGAGAAGAACAGGAGGUUGUAGUUUCUUUUUCUCCAAAGGAUCCCCAAGUUUGGGAGGAAAGGAUCUAAAAACUGUCUGUGCAGCCAUUUGGACCUCAGUGUGAAGUGGUGUUAAAAGGUGAAGUCCAUUCUUCAGGAAGUAAACCUCUGCCACGCGGAUCAUGCUCAGACAUUCGAUUGGAGUUUGUCCAACAGUUUCUUGCUUUGGAAGGUGUCCCUCUUGGUGGAACACAGUUUCACCUCUUGCUGGAACUCAGAGCUGCAAAUGAUGCUUAACGUACCACUGCUUUCUGACUGAGCUCCUCUCUACCCUGAAUACAAGAGACCCUAAUAGUUAUGUGGAAAUGUCAUCGCCCCUGUUCAGCAUGAAGAAGUUACAGAAGAUGGACCUUCAUCCUUCUGCAACCCCUGGAUUAAGGGUCCUCUUGUAAAAGGGAGGGGGGAAAUAUGUAAGAAACAUUCAAACCAGAGCGACUCCAUUUUGAACAAGGGCUAAGAAAAAUGAAGCUGGGGCCUGUUGAGCUGCAUUCCCAGGAGGUUAAGCAUUCCUAGCCUUAAGAUGUUUACAACUGAGGGAACAGAUUAAUAAUGUUUCCUAAACACACUCAGGACUUAACAGACCCAGGAAUGUCUUGAUACUUUGAGAACAAAAGCAUUUGUAGUUUUAAAUAUGCACUGCACCUAGUAGGAUGGAUGCUUUUCUCUUCAUAGUUUUGGAAAUGCCCCACCCUGUCUAUGGAGUCACUAUUUGUUCACUCCUUUACUUUAAUAAAGUUGCUUCCAUUUUUCAC